rnacentral:lncRNA from 1 species
CGUCUCUAUUUCUAAUAUCUGAAUACACAAAGAAACUAUAAUCUCCUCCUUCACCUUAUCGAUCUCUUCCUUACAGCAAUUCAGUCAUACCAAUAACUGCUAUUUCCACCAAUAUAUUCACCCUCAUAAUCUCCAACUAUAAUACUACGCCCUCACAACUUUUAGCACACAAUUACUCUCAUUUCAAUCAUUGGAAUUCUUCACACAGAACUUCCAUUCACAUUACGGUGUUUCACACAAACACAGACUCAUUCUUUCUGCUGAACUACAAUCAAAUUUCAGCAUUCAAUCUUUCUUCUUCUCAAAUAAUACCAAUCACAUUUCUAUUCCAUAAUUCACUUCACAAUAUUCAAAAAUUCUCAAUCCUCUUAUUCAAAGAAAAUAACAAACAAAAGAAAAGAGAUAGUACCAAGCUUA